CAUCUGACUCUUGUGUGUCUUCUGAUUGCAGGCCUCAGGAACACCAGCCAACCAAUAACCCCAACGCAUCCAAGUUUGCUCAAAAGUUUGGCGGCUCUGAUAAUUGUCCUCGGUGUAGCAAGGCCGUCUACGCAGCUGAAAAAGUCAUAGGGGCAGGAAAUGCAUGGCACAGGGGUUGUUUCCGAUGUGCAAAGUGCGGCAAGGGGCUGGAAUCUACAACUUUAGCCGACAAGGAUGGUGAAAUCUACUGCAAAGGCAGAGUAUCCAAUGUUAUCCUGUCUCUUUUUAGUGAUUCAUGCCAAGCAACCACCUAGAAAACACUCAGAACAUUAUAAUGAACUAA